rnacentral:rRNA from 1 species
GAUGAACGCUGGCGGCGUGCCUAAUACAUGCAAGUCGAGCGAACGGACGAGAAGCUUGCUUCUCUGAUGUUAGCGGCGGACGGGUGAGUAACACGUGGAUAACCUACCUAUAAGACUGGGAUAACUUCGGGAAACCGGAGCUAAUACCGGAUAAUAUUUUGAACCGCAUGGAUCAAAAGUGAAAGACGGUCUUGCUGUCACAUAUAGAUGGAUCCGCGCUGCAUUAGCUAGUUGGUAAGGUAACGGCUUACCAAGGCAACGAUGCAUAGCCGACCUGAGAGGGUGAUCGGCCACACUGGAACUGAGACACGGUCCAGACUCCUACGGGAGGCAGCAGUAGGGAAUCUUCCGCAAUGGGCGAAAGCCUGACGGAGCAACGCCGCGUGAGUGAUGAAGGUCUUCGGAUCGUAAAGCUCUGUUAUUAGGGAAGAACAUAUGUGUAAGUAACUGUGCACAUCUUGACGGUACCUAAUCAGAAAGCCACGGCUAACUACGUG